UACGUAGGGUGCAAGCGUUGUCCGGAAUUAUUGGGCGUAAAGAGCUCGUAGGCGGUUUGUCGCGUCGAAUGUGAAAACCCGGGGCUCAACCCCGGGCCUGCAUUCGAUACGGGCAGACUAGAGUUCGGUAGGGGAGUCUGGAAUUCCUGGGUGUAGCGGUGAAAUGCGCAGAUAUCAGGAGGAACACCGGUGGCGAAGGCGGGACUCUGGGCCGAUACUGACGCUGAGGAGCGAAAGCGUGGGGAGCAAACAGG
rnacentral:rRNA from 1 species